rnacentral:rRNA from 1 species
UACGGAAGGCAGCAGUGGGGAAUAUUGCACAAUGGGCGAAAGCCUGAUGCAGCUAUGCCGCGUGUAUGAAGAAGGCCUUAGGGUUGUAAAGUACUUUCAUCGGGGAGGAAAAAACAAAACUAAUAAUUUUAUUUCUUGACGUUACCCGAAAAAGAAGCACCGGCUAACUCCGUGCCAGCAGCCGCGGUAAUACGGAGGGUGCUAGCGUUAAUCAGAAUUACUGGGCGUAAAGAGCACGUAGGUGGUUUUUUAAGUCAGAUGUGAAAUCCCUGGGCUUAACCUAGGAACUGCAUUUUGAAACUGAAAUACUAGAGUAUCGUAGAGGGAGGUAGAAUUCUAGGUGUAGCGGUGAAAUGCGUAGAUAUCUGGAGGAAUACCUGUGGCGAAAGCGGCCUCCUAAACGAAUACUGACACUGAGGUGCGAAAGCGUUGGGGAGCAAACAGGGAUUUAGAUACCCGU